GUGCUUACUUCGGCAGCACAUAUACUAAAAUUGAAACGAUACAGAGAAGAUUAGCAAGGCCCCUGCACAAGGAUGACACGCAAAUUCGUGAAGCAUUCCAUAUUAAA
ensembl:snRNA U6 U6 spliceosomal RNA